UGACUCGACGCAAUUCGUCCCGACUCUAAUUCGACUUCAUGAGGUUCGAUUCGAUUUGACCGCUACUUUAAAUGCAGCGGAUAUACUGAUCGGAUGAACGAUGUGCCCGUUUCCUGGCUAGCUUCCAGCAAUUAGUUCCAGUUAAGGAUGCGCUCGCGCCGAUAGCUACUGGCGAUUCGCUCGUUUAACAGCGUAACGGCGAGCCAGCAGGAGUCAGGGCCGGUGACUGGCAUCGUGGAAGGAGGAACAGAGGGAAACGGAGACAGAGGGACAAGGAUAAAAAGGUGGCUGGACCCUACGAGGGUGCUAGAAGGUGGGUACAGUCGCUAGGAAGAAUAUAGUAGAAAACGAGAACUUCCUUCGUUGCUCUUUUCUAUCUUUUUUCACUUCGCUCUUCCUCACCGGAAUCCCUCGACCGAACAUCAACUCCGCAACAAAAUAUCCAUGAAUUUUAAUAACGAACGAAUGUUGUAUUCGAGAUUUUUCAGCAAAACUGUACAGAUAAGAAUAUUUAUAAUACGGCAAAGAAAAAACAUAAUAUAAAUAUAGCAGCGUAGUGAACGAAGUAAUUUCCUUGUGCACACAGCGUAAA